GGGACUGUGGCGAAGUGGUAUCGCGUUCGCUUUGGGUGCGAAAGAUCGUCGGUUCGAUCCCGGCCUGUCCCC
rfam:Catenaria anguillulae PL171 BCR44scaffold_172, whole genome shotgun sequence.